ensembl:snoRNA
UGCAUCAUCUCAGAAAAUUCUAUUGAUCCCAAAGAGACAAAGACUUAUAAACAGAUGCAAAAUAUAAAUCCUCUUUUGCAACCCAGAACUCAUUGUUCAGUAUGAGUUUUGAUAUAUAUAGGAAGGAAUAUU